CCUACGGGAGGCAGCAGUGGGGAAUAUUGGACAAUGGGGGCAACCCUGAUCCAGCCAUGCCGCGUGUGUGAAGAAGGCCCUCGGGUUGUAAAGCACUUUCAGUGAGGAAGAACGCCUGGUGGUUAAUACCCAUCAGGAAAGACAUCACUCACAGAAGAAGCACCGGCUAACUCCGUGCCAGCAGCCGCGGUAAUACGGAGGGUGCGAGCGUUAAUCGGAAUUACUGGGCGUAAAGCGCGCGUAGGUGGCUUGAUAAGCCGGUUGUGAAAGCCCCGGGCUCAACCUGGGAACGGCAUCCGGAACUGUCAAGCUAGAGUGCAGGAGAGGAAGGUAGAAUUCCCGGUGUAGCGGUGAAAUGCGUAGAGAUCGGGAGGAAUACCAGUGGCGAAGGCGCCCUUCUGGACUGACACUGACACUGAGGUGCGAAAGCGUGGGUAGCAAACAGGAUUAGAUACCCCUGUAGUC
rnacentral:rRNA from 1 species